rnacentral:rRNA from 1 species
UACGUAGGGUGCAGGCGUUACUCGGAAUUACUGGGCGUAAAGCGUGCGCAGGCGGUUUGCCAAGAGAGAUGUGAAAUCCCCGGGCUUAACCUGGGAACUGCGUUUCUAACUGGCAGGCUUGAGUGUGGCAGAGGGGGGUGGAAUUCCACGUGUAGCAGUGAAAUGCGUAGAGAUGUGGAGGAACACCGAUGGCGAAGGCAGCCCCCUGGGCUAACACUGACGCUCAUGCACGAAAGCGUGGGGAGCAAACAGG